CCUACGGGUGGCAGCAGUGGGGAAUAUUGCACAAUGGCGCAAGCCUGAUGUAGCCAUGCCGCGUGUGUGAAGAAGGCCUUCGGGUUGUAAAGCACUUUCAGCGGGGAGGAAGGCGGUGAGGUUAAUAACCUCAUCGAUUGACGCUACCCGCAGAAGAAGCACCGGCUAACUCCGUGCCAGCAGCCGCGGUAAUACGGAGGGUGCAAGCGUUAAUCGGAAUUACUGGGCGUAAAGCGCACGCAGGCGGUCUGUCAAGUCGGAUGUGCAAUCCCCGGGCUCAACCUGGGAACUGCAUUCGAAACUGGCAAGCUAGAGUCUUGUAGAGGGGGGUAGAAUUCCAGGUGUAGCGGUGAAAUGCGUAGAGAUCUGGAGGAAUACCGGUGGCGAAGGCGGCCCCCUGGACAAAGACUGACGCUCAGGUGCGAAAGCGUGGGGAGCAAACAGGAUUAGAUACCCUAGUAGUC
rnacentral:rRNA from 1 species